GAUGAAGAACGUAGCGAAAUGCGAUAAGUAAUGUGAAUUGCAGAAUUCAGUGAAUCAUCGAAUCUUUGAACGCACAUUGCGCCCGCCAGUAUUCUGGCGGGCAUGCCUGUUCGAGCGUCAUUUCAACCAUCAAGCCCCCGGGCUUGUGUUGGGGACCUGCGGCUGCCGCAGGCCCUGAAAACCAGUGGCGGGCUCGCUAGUCACUCCGAGCGUAGUAGUUACAUCUCGCUCAGGGCGUGCUGCGGGUUCCGGCCGUUAAAAGCCUUUUACCCCAAGGUUGACCUCGGAUCAGGUAGGAAGACCCGCUGAACUUAAGCAUAUCAAUAAGCGAGGA
rnacentral:misc_RNA from 1 species